rnacentral:rRNA from 1 species
AUUGAACGCUGGCGGCAGGCCUAACACAUGCAAGUCGAGCGGAUGAUGGGAGCUUGCUCCUGGAUUCAGCGGCGGACGGGUGAGUAAUGCCUAGGAAUCUGCCUGGUCGUGGGGGACAACGUUUCGAAAGGAACGCUAAUACCGCAUACGUCCUACGGGAGACAGCAGCGGACCUUCGGGCAUGGCGCCAUCAGGUGAGCCCGGGUCGGAUUAGCUAGUAGGUGAGGUAAAGGCGCGCCUAGGCGACGAUCCGUAACUGGUCUGAGAGGAUGAUCAGUCACACUGGAACUGAGACACGGUCCAGACUCCUACGGGAGGCAGCAGUGGGGAAUAUUGGACAAUGGGCGAAAGCCUGACCCAGCCAUGCCGCGUGUGUGAAGAAGGCCUUCGGGUUGUAAAGCACUUUCAGCGAGGAGGAAGGGGUGUGUGUUAAUAGUACACACCUUUGACGUUACUCGCAGAAGAAGCACCGGCUAACUCUGUGCCAGCCGCCGCGGUAAUAC